UACGUAGGGUGCAAGCGUUAAUCGGAAUUACUGGGCGUAAAGGCGUGCGCAGGCGGUUAUGUAAGACAGGUGUGAAAUCCCCGGGCUUAACCUGGGAACUGCAUUUGUGACUGCAUAGCUAGAGUACGGUAGAGGGGGAUGGAAUUCCGCGUGUAGCAGUGAAAUGCGUAGAUAUGCGGAGGAACACCGAUGGCGAAGGCAAUCCCCUGGACCUGUACUGACGCUCAUGCACGAAAGCGUGGGGAGCAAACAGG
rnacentral:rRNA from 1 species